rnacentral:rRNA from 1 species
AUUGCCUCAGUAACGGCGAGUGAAGCGGCAACAGCUCAAAUUUGAAAGCUGGCCCCCCCGGGGGUCCGCGUUGUAAUUUGUAGAGGAUGAUUCGGCGAGGGCUCCCGCCUAAGUCCCCUGGAACGGGGCGUCAUAGAGGGUGAGAAUCCCGUAUGCGGUGGGCUGCCUUAGCCAUGUGAAUCUCCUUCGACGAGUCGAGUUGUUUGGGAAUGCAGCUCUAAAUGGGAGGUAAAUUUCUUCUAAAGCUAAAUACCGGCCAGAGACCGAUAGCGCACAAGUAGAGUGAUCGAAAGAUGAAAAGCACUUUGGAAAGAGAGUUAAAAAGUACGUGAAAUUGUUGAAAGGGAAGCGCUUGCAGCCAGACUUGUCCGCAGUUGCUCAGCCGGUCUCCUGACCGGCGCACUCUUCUGCGGCCAGGCCAGCAUCAGUUCGGGCGGUCGGAUAAAGGCCCCGGGAACGUAGCUCCUCUCGGGGAGUGUUAUAGCCCGGGGUGGAAUGCGGCCAGCCUGGACUGAGGAUCUCGCUUCGGCUAGGAUGCUGGCGUAAUGGCUGUAAGCGGCCCGUCUUGAAACACGGACCAAGGAGUCUAACAUCUAUGCGAGUGUUUGGGUGUCAAACCCAUGCGCGUAAUGAAAGUGAACGGAGGUGGGAACCCUCGCGGGUGCACCAUCGACCGAUCCUGAUGUCUUCGGAUGGAUUUGAGUAAGAGCAUAGCUGUUGGGACCCGAAAGAUGGUGAACUAUGCCUGAAUAGGGUGAAGCCAGAGGAAACUCUGGUGGAGGCUCGCAGCGGUUCUGACGUGCAAAUCGAUCGUCAAAUUUGGGUAUAGGGGCGAAAGACUAAUCGAACCAUCGACUACUAGGUGGUUAAGAGUGGCUGAAAGUGCCCACCUAGUCCCCCGUCCUCGGACGGGGGGGCGACUUC